AAGUCGGUAAACAGUUCCGCACUGAUGGACUUUGCUUGGAGCGCGAAUCGUCUCGGUGCUAUCAGCGGUGAUCGAUAUCGGCGCAAUAAGUCGAUAAUGAGCUAUUUUGCGACCGAUGGAGCAGUCGUUUGUUUGUUUACUACUGCGAGUUAAUAAUAACUUGAGACCCGUCAAGGUUUCGCGACCCUAGCCGCGUGGACUUCGGAAGUUAAAUCAUGAAACAGUGGUAUUUUAAUUAAUCGCAUCUAAUGACCUGAUGAACAAAAUGCCCUCUGGGCUUUACGUCUCUUCGGGUUAUUUUGUUACGUCUGUUGAAAUGCAUGAAAAAUACAGUCUUUGUGCUUGCACCAGUGAAUACUUCGGCGGCUCCAGGAACAACGAGUGAGCGACUGGCGACCAGAUCGCCCGCGACGCGCGCUUCGUCGCCCGCGCAUCGCUUCCUCAUUAGCCACCAUACUAGGCGCCGCGCUCGCAGGGCUGCGGUCACCCGAGUGUAUUACAUUCAUACCAUACAAAUAAAUAUCAUUUUACAAAAAUCUCUCA